UAGGAUUGGGUGUAUUGGUAGCACAAAGAAUUUUGAAUUCUUAGGAGUAGGUUCAAUUCCUAUAGUCCUAG
rnacentral:tRNA from 1 species